rnacentral:tRNA from 1 species
GGGGAUAUAGCUCAGAUGGGAGAGCGAUGCGUUCGCAACGCAUAGGCCGAGGGUUCGAGUCCCUUUAUCUCCA